rnacentral:rRNA from 1 species
CUGCCUAUUAGUGGGGGACAACAUUCCGAAAGGAAUGCUAAUACCGCAUACGCCCUACGGGGGAAAGCAGGGGAUCUUCGGACCUUGCGCUAAUAGAUGAGCCUAAGUCAGAUUAGCUAGUUGGUGGGGUAAAGGCCUACCAAGGCGACGAUCUGUAGCGGGUCUGAGAGGAUGAUCCGCCACACUGGGACUGAGACACGGCCCAGACUCYUACGGGAGGCAGCAGUGGGGAAUAUUGGACAAUGGGCGNAAGCCUGAUCCAGCCAUGCCGCGUGUGUGAAGAAGGCCUUUUGGUUGUAAAGCACUUUAAGCGAGGAGGAGGCUACUNAGAUUAAUACUCUNGGAUAGUGGACGUUACUCGCAGAAUAAGCACCGGCUAACUCUGUGCCAGCAGCCGCGGUAAUACAGAGGGUGCGAGCGUUAAUCGGAUUUACUGGGCGUAAAGCGUGCGUAGGCGGCUUUUUAAGUCGGAUGUGAAAUCCCUGAGCUUAACUUAGGAAUUGCAUUCGAUACUGGGAAGCUAGAGUAUGGGAGAGGAUGGUAGAAUUCCAGGUGUAGCGGUGAAAUGCGUAGAGAUCUGGAGGAAUACCGAUGGCGAAGGCAGCCAUCUGGCCUAAUACUGACGCUGAGGUACGAAAGCAUGGGGAGCAAACAGGAUUAGAUACCCUGGUAGUCCAUGCCGUAAACGAUGUCUACUAGCCGUUGGGGCCUUUGAGGCUUUAGUGGCGCAGCUAACGCGAUAAGUAGACCGCCUGGGGAGUACGGUCGCAAGACUAAAACUCAAAUGAAUUGACGGGGGCCCGCACAAGCGGUGGAGCAUGUGGUUUAAUUCGAUGCAACGCGAAGAACCUUACCUGGUCUUGACAUAGUAAGAACUUUCCAGAGAUGGAUUGGUGCCUUCGGGAACUUACAUACAGGUGCUGCAUGGCUGUCGUCAGCUCGUGUCGUGAGAUGUUGGGUUAAGUCCCGCAACGAGCGCAACCCUUUUCCUUAUUUGCCAGCGGGUUAAGCCGGGAACUUUAAGGAUACUGCCAGUGACAAACUGGAGGAAGGCGGGGACGACGUCAAGUCAUCAUGGCCCUUACGACCAGGGCUACACACGUGCUACAAUGGUCGGUACAAAGGGUUGCUACCUAGCGAUAGGAUGCUAAUCUCAAAAAGCCGAUCGUAGUCCGGAUUGGAGUCUGCAACUCGACUCCAUGAAGUCGGAAUCGCUAGUAAUCGCGGAUCAGAAUGCCGCGGUGAAUACGUUCCCGGGCCUUGUACACACCGCCCGUCACACCAUGGGAAUUUGUUGCACCAGAAGUAGGUAGUCUAACCGCAA